UACAGAGGGUGCAAGCAUUAAUCGGAUUUAUUGGGCGUAAAGAGCGCGUAGGCGGGUUUUUAAGUCAGAUGUGAAAUCCUGGGGCUCAACCCCAGAACAGCAUUUGAAACUGAAAAUCUUGAGGGUAGUCGGAGAAAAUGGAAUUCCACGUGUAGCGGUGAAAUGCGUAGAUAUGUGGAAGAACACCGGUGGCGAAGGCGAUUUUCUAGAUUAUACCUGACGCUGAGGCGCGAAAGCAAGGGGAUCAAACAGG
rnacentral:rRNA from 1 species